GCUGGAUCAUAUUUAAGCAUCUUCGAUAGAAGGUCAACACCCUCAGGUCCCAGUGACGGAACAGCGCGCGCCAGGUUUUGGGGCUCCCAUUGUGGAUAGACAUGCCAAUCACGCAGAGAAGUUACUCCUGGCCAUUGCUUUUCAGUUGGCGUUCCCAACAACCUGAAAACAUGAAGCAACUGUUGAAACUCAGAGUCACCAGGAAACAGAGCUUGCCUUCUGACCAUUUCAGCUUUAAUAAAUCUGGCCCAUUGACUAUUUGGCUCUGUUAGAAGAUGCCACCCUUGUUUUGCAAGACAUGCCAAAUUGAAUUUCUCAAAAUCCCGAAAACCCACGCCUGCCAUGUACUUUGGAUAAGAAGCCCUCUGCCAACUCACCCAACAAAUUUUCUUGUCCUCUGCUUUUCUCCCCCACCAGAAAGAGGAAGCUAUUCUAUUAGGCUGAAAACACAAACUCUUUGGGAACUUAAUGAUUGCCAUUGCAUAAGCCGAAAUGACAUUUAACACAGAUUUAAUCAUCACUUCCCUUCCUGCUUGCGAGAGUAAGUUUUGUUUCCAAGCUUGCGUUUUUGUCUUCAUCCGAUUCUUUAUGAACUCCAACACCUGAGUUUUUGAUUUUCCCCAAAAAGCAGGAAUCCCAAGAUACCUUUCAGUAUUGCUCAUUUCAGACAUUGCUAGAGAGGAAAGAAUGUCCCGUUUCAACUGGUGAGGGGUGCAUUUACUGAAAAGGAUACUAGACUUUAUGUCCUGAUGCUUCAGUGUAUCGUCUGAUGAUGGUGCUAAUGGUAUUAGCUUCCGUUCUUCAUGCUCGCCCAAACAACAAGGUAUCAUCGGCAAAUAGAACAUUGGUUAUGGGAGAAGAAAAUCUAGCAACCUUUAACCCCUUCAAAUUUCUGCUCAGAAAUUCUUUGGAAAUAAGACUAGAUAAUGCUUGAGACACCAGGAGGAACAAUUCAACUUGUUACUUUUGAGUACUAUGAAAUACAUUUUCAUUGGAGGGAAAUAAAUU
rnacentral:misc_RNA from 1 species